GGGAAGUCCUGUGAGAAUCAGGCGCGGUCCCGCCACUGUGAGGGCGCACGAGGUGCACCCGAAGCCAGAAUGCC
rnacentral:sRNA from 17 species